rnacentral:rRNA from 1 species
UUGAACGCUGGCGGUAUGCUUUACACAUGCAAGUCGAACGGGCUUGGGGGCUUGCUCCCGAGUUAGUGGCGAACGGGUGAGUAAUAUAUCGGAACAUAUCCGGAAGUGGGGGAUAACGUAGCGAAAGUUACGCUAAUACCGCAUAUGCCCUGAGGGGGAAAGGGGGGGAUCGCAAGACCUCUCGCUUUCGGAGUGGCCGAUAUCGGAUUAGCUAGUAGGUGAGGUAAAGGCUCACCUAGGCGACGAUCCGUAGCUGGUCUGAGAGGACGACCAGCCACACUGGAACUGAGACACGGUCCAGACUCCUACGGGAGGCAGCAGUGGGGAAUUUUGGACAAUGGGCGAAAGCCUGAUCCAGCCAUGCCGCGUGCGGGAAGAAGGCCUUCGGGUUGUAAACCGCUUUUGUCAGGGAAGAAAUCCUUUGAGCUAAUACCUCGGAGGGAUGACGGUACCUGAAGAAUAAGCACCGGCUAACUACGU